UACGUAGGGUGCGAGCGUUGUCCGGAAUUACUGGGCGUAAAGAGCUCGUAGGCGGUUUGUCGCGUUGUUCGUGAAAUCUCACGGCUUAACUGUGAGCGUGCGGGCGAUACGGGCAGACUUGAGUACUGCAGGGGAGACUGGAAUUCCUGGUGUAGCGGUGGAAUGCGCAGAUAUCAGGAGGAACACCGGUGGCGAAGGCGGGUCUCUGGGCAGUAACUGACGCUGAGGAGCGAAAGCGUGGGGAGCGAACAGG
rnacentral:rRNA from 1 species